rnacentral:lncRNA from 1 species
CAAAAUCCAGUUCUCUGGAAGGACGCUAAAAACACCUACAGAGUGGAAAAAAACAGGAGUUACGGCAUUAUUGGCGGUCCAUGACAAAAACACAGAUCCGGUAUUAACCCAAUAGUGGGAGAAGCGGUCGCUUGCAACGUUAUCGAUUGAAAGCCUGGGCGGAUGCUCAUUGCAGGAGAAUCGGACCAGGAGACCUUUAAUAGUCCAUCCCAACUCAAACGAUUCUACGAUUCCAUGACUUUCCUUUCCGUCCAGCAGCUCCGAGCUGUCACUUCGUGCUGUCUUCACCA